AGCGAACGCUGGCGGCAGGCCUAACACAUGCGAGUCGAACGAAGCCUUCGGGCUUAGUGGCGGACGGGUGAGUAACACGUGGGAACGUACCUUUUGGUUCGGAACAACUCAGGGAGACUUGAGCUAAUACCGGAUGAGCCCUUAGGGGGAAAGAUUUAUCGCCGAAAGAGCGGCCCGCGUUAGAUUAGCUAGUUGGUGAGGUAAAGGCUCACCAAGGCAACGAUCUAUAGCUGGUCUGAGAGGGUGAUCAGCCACACUGGGACUGAGACACGGCCCAGACUCCUACGGGAGGCAGCAGUGGGGAAUCUUGCGCAAUGGGCGAAAGCAUGACGCAGCCAUGCCGCGUGAAUGAUGAAGGUCUUAGGAUUGUAAAAUUCUUUUACCAGGGACGAUAAUGACGGUACCUGGAGAAAAAGCCCCGGCUAACUUCGUGCCAGCAGCCGCCGUAACAC
rnacentral:rRNA from 1 species